rnacentral:rRNA from 1 species
AGAAUCAACGCUGGCGGCGUGCCUAACACAUGCAAGUCGCACGAGAAAGGGACUUCGGUCCUGAGUAAAGUGGCGCACGGGUGAGUAACACGUGAAUAAUCUACCUCCGAGUGGGGAAUAACUGAGAGAAAUCUCAGCUAAUACCGCAUAACACUUACGAGUCAAAGCAGCAAUGCGCUUGGAGAGGAGUUCGCGGCCGAUUAGUUAGUUGGCGGGGUAAUGGCCCACCAAGACGAUGAUCGGUA